rnacentral:rRNA from 1 species
UUAUUGCUCUUCAACGAGGAAUCCCAAGUAAGCAUGAGUCAUCAGCUCAUGUUGAUUACGUCCCUGCCCUUUGUACACACCGCCCGUCGCUACUACCGAUUGAAUGGCUUAGUGAGACCUUUGGAUUGGGGUUUAGGAAUCGGCAACGAAUCUUAUUCUCCGAGAAGUCGGUCAAACUUGGUCAUUUAGAGGAAGUAAAAGUCGUAACAAGGUUUCCGUAGGUGAACCUGCGGAAGGAUCAUUAAAAACUUUUAUCCGGGAACUCGUUUAGUCUUCCCGGAUUAUUUGUAUUCAAAUCCCACUCUUUAUAAAUAUAUCAAUUAUAUAAAGCAAAUAUAAAAAAAGAAAACUUUCAACAACGGAUCUCUUGGCUCUCGCAUCGAUGAAGAAUGCAGCGAAAUGCGAUACGUAAUGUGAAUUGCAGAAUUCCGUGAAUCAUCGAAUCUUUGAACACAAAUUGUACUUUUCAGUAAUCUGGAAAGUAUGCUUGGUUGAGGGUCAUUAAAAUAACAUUCGUGAAUUUUUUCGCGGACUUGAGUUUUCCAAUAUUCAUUAUAAAUAAAUGUUGGUAACUUUAAAAUUAUUUAUAACUUGGUACAAGUUGAAAACGUGCUAUAUGUGUGGUUCGCCGACAAUUUGUCCAUCUUUAUAUAUUAUGCGCGUGCUUAGCUUUUAAAGUUUUGUACGAGUAUAUAUUUUUUUUUAUGACCUCAGCUCAAGCAAGAAAACCCGCUGAACUUUAUGCAUUAUCAAUAAGCGGAGGAAAAGAACUAACAAGGAUUCCCCCUAGUAACGGGCGAGUGAAAGAAGGGGAAAAGCCUCAAAAUUUUUAAAAUCUACCCUUGGCCUCCCCAGGGUCGGAGUGUAUUUUGGAUGAAACCGAUAUUUUGGUGUUGAAGGUCUUGAUUCAAGUUCUUUGGAACAAGAAUAUCAUGGAGGGCUGAGGAAUCCGGUGGCAUGAUCAGGACCAAGGAUGCCUUAAUUAUUCAGUUUCCCUAAGAGUCAAGAUGGUUGGGGAUGGAACUCUCAAUGGGGGUGUAAACCUUCUCCCAGGCGUUAGUUCACGCGAAGAACGCGUAUGCGAAACAGUACGUUGUGAGAGGGGAAGUAGAAGACCUUCUGAAAAAGGGAAGUUAAAU